AAUACUAAAGGAUUGAGUUAUGUGAAUGUGGGUAAAAAGGCAGUUAGAUAGGCAAGAAGUACUGUAAUUUUGUAUUAUAGAGGUGAAAUUUAUGUAUAUAGAAAUAACUUUGUAAGAACUUCAAAAUUGAAUCUGCGACAGCCUUGGGGGAAACUGGGAUUAGAUACCCCAUUAUUCUUGGUUAUAAAUUAAUUAAAUUUACCAGAGUACUAUGAAUUUAUCAUAAAAUUUAAAACUCAAAGAGCUUGGCGGUGUUUUAAACUUUUUAGGGGAACCUGUCUCGUAAUCGACAGUCCACGUUAAACCUAACCUUUAUUAGUCAUCAGUUUGUAUACCGUCGUCGACAGGUAACUUCUAAAAAAUUAAAAGUUAGCGAUAGAAACUUAUUAGUUAAUACGUCAGAUCAAGGUGCAGCUUAUAUAUAGGUGAGGAUGGGUUACAAUUAUAAAAUUAUAAGUACGGAAAGGGAAAGAAAAAUUGCCUUAGAAGGAGGACUUAAAAGUAAAAUAAAAUAUAUAAAUAUUUUGAAUAUAGCUCUGAAACGCGU
rnacentral:rRNA from 1 species